CCCCUCUCUCGUUCUAGUAUCUUGCUUAUUGCGAUAGACGCAAGUCUGGUUAACUCCAUGCUAUCUUAGCUGCUCGGGGAAUAAUAUGUCUGCGAGCGAUGUUGAUGUUUUUGUUUUUUUUUUUUUUGCCAAACUGUCUUGCCUCUCUCCCACUCGGACUUUUUAUAAAUAAUGAAGUUUGACUGACACACACUAAUACAAUGCACGUAGAUCAAUCAUAGAUAACAUAUUCGUAAGCAAUUAUAUAUCAUCAAAAGCUUUGAUUUCUAACUUUCUUUUUUUUCAAGCAGCAAAGCGACAACGG
rnacentral:lncRNA from 1 species